rnacentral:rRNA from 1 species
AGUGAACGCUGGCGGUAGGCCUAACACAUGCAAGUCGAACGGCAGCACAGUAAGAGCUUGCUCUUACGGGUGGCGAGUGGCGGACGGCCGAGGAAUACAUCGGAAUCUACUUUUUCGUGGGGGAUAACGUAGGGAAACUUACGCUAAUACCGCAUACGACCUACGGGUGAAAGCAGGGGAUCUUCGGACCUUGCGCGAUUGAAUGAGCCGAUGUCGGAUUAGCUAGUUGGCGGGGUAAAGGCCCACCAAGGCGACGAUCCGUAGCUGGUCUGAGAGGAUGAUCAGCCACACUGGAACUGAGACACGGUCCAGACUCCUACGGGAGGCAGCAGUGGGGAAUAUUGGACAAUGGGCGCAAGCCUGAUCCAGCCAUACCGCGUGGGUGAAGAAGGCCUUCGGGUUGUAAAGCCCUUUUGUUGGGAAAGAAAAGCAGCAGGUUAAUACCCCGCUGUUCUGACGGUACCCAAAGAAUAAGCACCGGCUAACUUCGUG